GACGAACGCUGGCGGCGUGCUUAACACAUGCAAGUCGAACGGAAAGGCGCUGCUCUUGUGGGGCGCUCGAGAGGCGAACGGGGGAGUAACACGUGUGUAACCCGUCCUUGACUUUGGGAUAAAUUCAGGAAACUGGGGCUAAUACAGCAUAGGAGCUCCUGAUGCACGGGGGGGGUUGGAAAGAUUCGGCGGUUGGGGCUGGACUCGAGGCAUAUCAGCUGGAUGGGGGGGUAGUGGCUUACCAAGGCUUUGACGGGUAGCCGGCCUGGGAGGGUGACCGGCUCCAUAGUCACUGGGGUGCGACCCAUACUCCUUCGGGCGGCAGGGGUGGGGACUAUUGCACGAUGGGCCGAGGCCUGAAGCAGCGACGCCGCGUGCGAGAUCACGGCUUUCGGGUUGGAAACCGCUUUCGCCUGUGACGAAGCGUGAGUGACGGUACUGGGUAAAGAAGCACCGCCUACCUACGU
rnacentral:rRNA from 1 species